GUAAAGGCUACAUGACAUGGAGAACUACAGAAAAGCCCGUACAGUCGAGCAGCCCUCCCUGUGUCCGUUCCCCAACCUGCCCAGCGACACUCCAGAAGUUCGAGUGAAGGAUGGCAGCAAAAUCCGAAACCUCAUGAGGUUCGCUUUAAGCCGCAUGGAGGAGAAAACAGCCUCCGCAGAUCAUCCAGGCCCUCAUGAAGGCUCAGAGCUUAGUGCACAGCAGCUGAAUCCAACUUCACACAAGGUGGAGCUGUAUAUGCAAAAUACGCAGUCAUGUUGGCUGUUCUUUUGACCAUUUUGAUGUUUAGUCAAGGGCUUUCAAUGGACAAUUGUGGGACGAGUUUCAUCACUGCAUUCCCCGAGAAUAUAGCAUUUUAUUAUCGAAAGACCUUUAACCUACUCAAAAUUACUACCCUUCACCCAGACACUACGAUCAAUGUCACCUAUAUGGCCAGCGACAAUGUCACCACAAAUGCAAGCCUCGCAAUUGGAACCGUUUGGACUUUGAAUUUGACGAAGGAGGUUGAAGAAUCCCAGUUUGAGUCUUCCAAUAAGACAUUUCGAAUCACCAGUGAUAAAAACAUCACAGUGGUUUCUGUGAGUGGACGGGAGGGGAGAUUCCAGUCUCACGUUGUCCAGCCUGAACAAAACCUGGGAAAGGUGUAUCAUGUUCCCUCUCUGAAUUACACCAAGAUAGCUGCGUCCUUUAACCUUACGAUUACAUCAGAUGUCAGAUUCCUCCCUUUUAGGCUGAUGAUUAUCAAUGCAGUGGAUGAGAACAACCAGGUCACCAUUAAACGGGUAGAUGAAAGAGGUCAGAGCCAAGAAGAUACAAUAAGGCUUGAUCCUUACAAUCUUUACCAGAUUCAGAUUAAUGAGAUGGUGAGAGAAAUCAACGCAGAUUACGAAGUAGCUGUGAUUCUGACCCAUCCAUGUUUUGACAGCAAAAACUGCUCAUGCAACAUGAUUCUGAACCAGCUCCAACCGUUUGUGUUAGAUGAAAAUGAAGACAGAUUCCUUAUGCCACCUUACCUCAGGCCCGAACAGCUACUUGUGACAACAAAUAAACCCUUCAGGGUCUGUCAGGGUUAUUUAACUACUUGUACUGGUGUUUGGGUGAAAAAUUCUUCAGACAUUCUGCCAUUAUUACCAAAUAUUGCGAACAGGAUCUUGCAUAUUUCUACUUCCAUGCAUGUUUCCCUCCGAUUUGUCAGUCCUGGGCUCAUUCUAGACCUCAUUCCAAUAAGCAUGUUCUCUGGGUGCUAUCUGGUAGAUUUGAAUUCCUCAAGCAGUGUGGUCUUGGUGAUUGCUAACACAUCCAGCACUAAUGGUGUGCGAAUGAACGAUAAGCCUUUGCCUUUGAACAUCAACUGGAACGUUUUGUCUGGCACAGAGUACUCUUGGGCUCUAGUGGCGGGACAAAGGAUAACCACAAUCUGGCAUACUUCUGAAAGGAUUGGUGUAUAUAUGUUCGAACGCUUGGAGUCUAACAGUACCUAUGGGAGUGCAGCAACAGUUAUAAGUAUGGACCCAGAUCCUUAUGGCUGUCUGGUGACACCGGAGAUGUUUGUACUUGGUGAAGAAGAAAUGAGCUGGUCCAUGUCCCGUGAGUACUGCAUGGACAAUGCUGAUCUGUUUGCCAGGCUCAACAAUAAAAGCAGGCAGGAUAAGAUGGCCUCAAACAUGACGGGCGAAGACCCCACGGAGGGCUGGAUCAGUCUGCGCCGCAGCCUGUACUCAACAGACUGGUACUGGAAAAACGAAGACAAUUUCUCACCCAGUGUGGACUUCACUUACUGGGAGAACGGACAGCCUGAAAAGCCGGAGAACGGCUUGUGUGCCUCAGUUUCCCUGGAUCCCAGCAAGAACUUCAAGUGGAAGAGUGCUCGCUGCUGUUCUAAGAAGAAACCAAUUUGCUAUAUCGGACCAAAAUACCUCACUUUUUGA
ensembl:lncRNA